rnacentral:snoRNA from 7 species
GCAUAGAUUUGGACUAUGGCAGGCUCCUCCCCAUGGGCUUCUCAUAGUGUCUCAUGCUAGAGCAAACUGUUGCUCCUAACCAUUGUCCAGCCUCAGUCCCUGUAGGCUGCUGGCCCUGAAGUGGGUCACACAGUA